AGUGAACGCUGGCGGUAGGCCUAACACAUGCCAGUCGAACGGCAGCACAGUAAGAGCUUGCUCUUACGGGUGGCGAGUGGCGGACGGGUGAGGAAUACAUCGGAAUCUACUUUUUCGUGGGGGAUAACGUAGGGAAACUUACGCUAAUACCGCAUACGACCUACGGGUGAAAGCAGGGGAUCUUCGGACCUUGCGCGAUUGAAUGAGCCGAUGUCGGAUUAGCUAGUUGGCGGGGUAAAGGCCCACCAAGGCGACGAUCCGUAGCUGGUCUGAGAGGAUGAUCAGCCACACUGGAACUGAGACACGGUCCAGACUCCUACGGGAGGCAGCAGUGGGGAAUAUUGGACAAUGGGCGCAAGCCUGAUCCAGCCAUACCGCGUGGGUGAAGGAGGCCUUCGGGUUGUAAAGCCCUUUUGUUGGGAAAGAAAAGCAGCAGGUUAAUACCCCGCUGUUCUGACGGUACCCAAAGAAUAAGCACCGGCUAACUUCGUGC
rnacentral:rRNA from 1 species